UGCAGAAUCCCGUGAACCAUCGAGUUUUUGAACGCAAGUUGCGCCCGAAGCCUCUGGCUGAGGGCACGUCUGCCUGGGCGUCACGCAUCGCGUCUCCCCCAAAAUCCACCCUUGGUGGAGGGGAAGGAGGAUGGUCUCCCGUGACUCACCGGUCGCGGCUGGCCUAAAAUUGGAGCCCUCGGCAUCGGGAUGCCGCGGCGAUAGGUGGUGAACAAGGCCUCGGCCAAGCAAGCAACCCGUCGCGCAUGCCGUGCCAAUGCGGGCUCGCAGGACCCUUUGUCGUUGCCUUUAAGGCAACCAAACCGUUGCGACCCCAGGUCAGGCGGGGCUACCCGCUGAAUUUAAGCAUAUCAAUAAGCGGAGGAAAAGAAACU
rnacentral:rRNA from 1 species